GGGAGUAACCUACUUAAUAAGAAGUAGUUGUUGCUCUCUGAAUAAGUAAUAACGUCUUUAAUUAUCUCAACAUCUGGACAUGUGUGCUGAUCUCCCUUUUGUCCCAUAAGAUUGGUGAAAAAGGAUAUGAAUUUAGCUUUUAUCUCAAUAGGAUCAAUCAAUUUUACUCCUGCUUCAGUAUGUAUAGGAGGGAUGACAUUAAUACUAGACCUGAUUUUCCAUUGAG
rnacentral:lncRNA from 1 species